rnacentral:rRNA from 1 species
GAUGAACGCUGGCGGCGUGCCUAAUACAUGCAAGUCGAGCGAACAGACGAGGAGCUUGCUCCUCUGACGUUAGCGGCGGACGGGUGAGUAACACGUGGAUAACCUACCUAUAAGACUGGGAUAACUUCGGGAAACCGGAGCUAAUACCGGAUAACAUGUUGAACCGCAUGGUUCAACAGUGAAAGACGGUCUUGCUGUCACUUAUAGAUGGAUCCGCGCCGCAUUAGCUAGUUGGUAAGGUAACGGCUUACCAAGGCAACGAUGCGUAGCCGACCUGAGAGGGUGAUCGGCCACACUGGAACUGAGACACGGUCCAGACUCCUACGGGAGGCAGCAGUAGGGAAUCUUCCGCAAUGGGCGAAAGCCUGACGGAGCAACGCCGCGUGAGUGAAGAAGGUCUUCGGAUCGUAAAACUCUGUUACUAGGGAAGAACAAAUGUGUAAGUAACUAUGCACGUCUUGACGGUACCUAAUCAGAAAGCCACGGCUAACUACGUG